UGCAAAAGCUCCUUCUCUCCCUCUCAUAAACGACCUCUUCUCUCUCACUCACCCUCACCAUUGCAAAUUUUCAUUUCUCAUCCAUUCAAGCUAGGAUUUGUCUCUUUGGAACUAGGAACUUGCAAGGAAAUCACUCCUCUUAAGAUGACGGAGAGCCAAGCGAGACUGUGGGUCGUGUGGAUGGCGAGGACUUCGUAGAUUAUGCCGGAGAGUAGAUGUUAGCACUUGUUAGGCUACACUUUUGGUUAGGCUUAGGGCCUAGUUUGUAUUUUUUUGGAUGACUGUAUGUCUUAUACAUUUAUACUCAGACAUGUUUAGUGCCUUUUGGCCUUGUGAUAUAUUUGGUUCAUAACUCGUGUCUUUUGGUUGAUGAACUUAAUGUAUCCGCUGUAUGUAAAUUAUUCAGGUACACAUUUGCUUUUCGAAGCCCUUAAUACAAUCGUUUGAUAUUGUAUAUUAAAACUGUUGUAUGAUUUAAUGAUGA